GACGAGCCGUGCGAACGUUGUUCGGAAUCACUGGGCUUAAAGGGCGCGUAGGCGGGGAGGUAAGUCAGGGGUGAAAGCCCACGGCCCAACCGUGGAAGUGCCUUUGAUACUGCCUGUCUCGAGGGAGGUAGGGGCGUGCGGAACUUCCGGUGGAGCGGUGAAAUGCGUAGAUAUCGGAAGGAACACCGGUGGCGAAAGCGGCGCGCUGGACCUCUUCUGACGCUGAGGCGCGAAAGCCAGGGGAGCAAACGGG
rnacentral:rRNA from 1 species